rnacentral:rRNA from 1 species
UUUUGACCCGUCUUGAAACACGGACCAAGGAGUAUACAGUAUGUGCGAGUCAUUGAGUUCUAAACUCAAAGGCGUAAUGAAAGUAAAGAUUCCGUAAGGUUUUGAUAUGCGAUCUCGGUUGCCUCGGUAGCUGAGAGCAGCAUAGCCCCGUCUUGACCGCUUGCGGUAGGGCGGAGGUAGAGCGCAUGCUAUGUGACCCGAAAGAUGGUGAACUAUGCUUGAACAGGAUGAAGCCAGAGGAAACUCUGGUGGAAGUCCGAAGCGAUUCUGACGUGCAAAUCGAUCGUCUGAUUUGAGUAUAGGGGCGAAAGACUAAUCGAACCAUCUAGUAACUGGUU